rnacentral:rRNA from 1 species
GACGAACGCUGGCGGCGCGCCUAACACAUGCAAGUCGAACGAGCGAGAGGAGGUUUACUUUCUCAAGCGAGUGGCGAACGGGUGAGUAACGCGUGAGGAACCUGCCUCAAAGAGGGGGACAACAGUUGGAAACGACUGCUAAUACCGCAUAAGCCCACGACCCGGCAUCGGGUAGAGGGAAAAGGAGCAAUCCGCUUUGAGAUGGCCUCGCGUCCGAUUAGCUAGUUGGUGAGGUAAUGGCCCACCAAGGCGACGAUCGGUAGCCGGACUGAGAGGUUGAACGGCCACAUUGGGACUGAGACACGGCCCAGACUCCUACGGGAGGCAGCAGUGGGGAAUAUUGCACAAUGGGGGAAACCCUGAUUCAGCGACGCCGCGUGGAGGAAGAAGGUCUUCGGAUUGUAAACUCCUGUUGUUGAGGAAGAUAAUGACGGUACUCAACAAGGAAGUGACGGCUAACUACGUG